AUGAAACUAGAGUCGGGGAAGGUGUCUAAUCUUCAGUACUUGCACAGCUACCUGACUUACAUCAACCUGUCAACGGCAAUCAAGCAUAAUGAGAACAUGGCCAAAGGUCUGUAGAGGGCUCUGCUGCAGCAGCAGCCAGAGGAUGACAGCAAGUGCUCCCCCCAGCCCCAGGACCUGAUCUGGCUCUACAACAUCAUCCUACGGAAUCUGGUGGAAUUGCUCCAGCUUCCUGGUAUAGAGGAGGACAAAGCCUUCCAGAAAGAGAUAGGCCUCAAGACUCUGGUAUUUAAAGCUUACAGGUGUUUUUUCAUUUCUCAGUCCUAUGUGCUGGUGAAGACGUGGAGCGAAACCCUUGUCCUGUAUGAUAGAGUCCUGAAAUAUGCAAAUGAAGUAAAUUCUGAUGCUGGCGCCUUCAAGAACAGCCUAACGGACCUGCCUGACAUGGAAGAGCUCAUUACUCAAGUGCGGUCGGAGAAGUGCUCCCUGCAGGCCAUGGUCAUCCUUGAUUCAGAUAAUUCUCAUCAAACCUCCUUCCAAGUCAAGGACAAUAAGUCUCUGGUUGAACGGUUUGAGACAGUCUGCUUGGACCUUUUCCUGGUCACCAAGCAAGCCAACCUUGUGCACUUCCCACCAGGCUUCCAGCCCAUCCCCUGCAAGCCUUUGUUUUUUGACCUGGCCCUCAAUCAUGUGGCUUUCCCACCCCUUAAGGACAAGUUGGAACAGAAGACCAAGAGUGGACUCACUGGGUACGUCAAGGGCAUCUUUGAGUUCAGGAGCUAACCAGGCUCUUCCUUGGGGGUGGGGGAGAUUCUGACUCUUCAUCUGUAUUGUGAGAAAAUCCCAGCAAGUUUCGCGAUAUUAAAUCCAGGUCUGCAUUGGCCCAGGGCAGGAGUUUACAUAUUCAGCCCUGCAUUCCUACAUCUUGGGUCUGUACCCUUACAUUCUUAACCAGUGUGUUAGGAGAGCACCCUGUCAUCUUCUGGUAGAUGUGUGCGGGGUCACCCUGUCUCCUGUACCUCCUGGGAGAGGGGCCGCUGCUGUCUGGUGCUCUGUUUGGUCAGUAAUGUGUUCCGGAGUCCACGCCAGGCACAGAUGGGGCCUCGAAACGCUUUGUCACGCUUCUUCAGUACCAUGGAUUUGAAAUGAACUCAUCCUUGCUGUGAGCAUCCAGGAUCCCUUGAAAAAUUUAUCUAUGACUAUGAAACUGACAAUGUCAUCCCAGAAUUACAGUAAGCCUUAUUCCCCUUCACCUCCCUGUGAACUCUAAGAAGUUUCAGAACAAGCAGAGAGCUCUAUUUUUAGAAGAAAUGUGUUACAUUCAGAAAUGAUGAAACAAAAUCUUAUAUUAAAAGGCAAAGAUUACG